rnacentral:rRNA from 1 species
AUUCCUACGGUACCGUCAUCUACCCACACGUGGUAUUAUUCUUCCGUAAAAAAGCAGUUUACAACCCGUAGGGCCGUCUUCCUGCACGCGGCAUGGCUGGAUCAGUCUCUCGACCAUUGUCCAAUAUUCCUCA